CACGUAGGGUGCGAGCGUUGUCCGGAAUUAUUGGGCGUAAAGAGCUCGUAGGCGGCUUGUCGCGUCGUCUGUGAAAUCCCGCGGCUCAACCGCGGGUCUGCAGUCGAUACGGGCAGGCUAGAGUUCGGUAGGGGAGACUGGAAUUCCUGGUGUAGCGGUGAAAUGCGCAGAUAUCAGGAGGAACACCGGUGGCGAAGGCGGUUCUCUGGGCAUGCCCCGACGCUGAGGAGCGAAAGUGUGGGGAGCGAACAGG
rnacentral:rRNA from 1 species